rnacentral:lncRNA from 1 species
GUUUAGCUACAUGAAUAGCUUAUCUUCUACAAAUAAUGAGAUAUAUGUUAGGACAAUAAAUGAUCGAGGAUGAUCUUGGCAUCCUUAGAAACUUUUAAGGGUUGGUUUGGUUGGGGGUAAUCUAGUAUGAAAAAAAAAUCUCAUAUCAGAUUACCAUAUUUGGUAUAAAAGAUAUGAGAAAGAGAGAUGAUAAAAAAAUUG